rnacentral:lncRNA from 1 species
CUGGCUUCCCACAAUCACUCUUUCCAUGACACUGUGUUUUUCAACCUCAUCGGAUGCAUGAGGAGGUGUCUUUAAAGAUCAUCAGUCCCACUAGGGCACGAGAGGGCUCAGAAGUUCGACUAUCUGGCCUGCUAUUCCCCAUUUUUAUAGGGAUGAGGGCUGACCCUAGGUGCCUUCUUUCCUCAUCUCCCCACCUGGACUGGCCCUCGGAGGUGUGGAACACAUGUAGUGUGUUUAGUAAGAAAAUUAACACGUACUAUUUCCUAUCACAUUAAAUAUGAAACUGUGGUGGAAAGCAAACUUUGGGGAAAGGUAAACUCCUGUUUUGUUAAUGCUUUGGCAAGAUUUCCCCCAAUGGCUCUGUGCUUGCUCUAAGCUGGAUUUACACCAAGCUCACCCUUCUCAGCACCUGUUUUUCUCUUAUGUAAGGGAAAAAAAUGUCUUGAAAAUCUGCACUGGGCAUUUGCCAUGCUAGACUGAGAAACACCAAAGUUUAACCUUUGUUUUUUCAAUUUUCUGGCUAGUCACUAAGGACUGGCCUCCUACGUCCAGCUGAAGCUACGCUAUAUCUUUAAGGGGGAUGUGGAAAAUCCUCCUCUUUAUCAGAGUACUCAGUGAAGAUAUUGAUAGAAUAUUUCUUUCCAUGGGAUUGACUGCCUCUUUCUUAUACUCCAAGGAACUGGCAGAGUCCAGGACAAGCCACUCAAGCCUUAAUGCAUUUGAAACCAUCCCUAACCAUUUCAUGUUCUGGGAAUUCUCUGUGUUCAAUAAAGGGAUGUUAAUAACAUAUUUUUGAGUGGCUGCAAAGUUCUAGGGACAAUGCCAGAUACUUUUUACAUAAAUCAUCUCCUUUAGUCUUGGCACAAGACUAGGAUGGUGGAUUUGAUGAUCCCCACUUUUCAAGUGAGGCUCAGGUGAAGCACCUAAAGUCUCAUCGCUGGUGGGUAGGAGAGCCAGGAUUUUUUUUCUUUCUCUGCCUCCCUUUGAAGGGUCACUCUCCUGUUAUUCUUUCUAGACAUUAUUAGCCUUCACACUAAUGAAGACUGGCUACUUGACCCAAUCCAUUCUCUCUUCGAAUGCCAGCUGGAUUGGAAUUGAGGUUUUCGGGAAGACGUGGCACAGCAGAACUUGUGUUUCAGACAAUGGUCUUUAAAUAAAGAUGAGCUGGGCUUGGCGCCACACCUACGCCCGGCCUUCCCCAGCCAAAGCAGAAAGAGGGUUGCGCAACUCUUCAAGCAGUGCAGGGCUUCAGAACAGCUGGUUCUGCUUCCUCACCUUGCAAACAAUCACCAAGAGUUACAGGAAUCUCACCAGGGGCGUUCGCUUCUCUUGCCUCUUCAGCCUCACUAUAUCCCUGAGCAGUUGGUUGUGCUUCCAAUUGCCCUUCUUCAUGCAGAGCUGCGGGAAGCCUGGACAAGUGACGUGACUGUCCGGGCUCCAACAGUCUUGGAAAUGGUCUUUGAGUUUUGGUUUCCAAGCACCCAGGUGUUUUAACAUCUAACGCUUUCUCCUGUGGGAUUUCAGCCGGGAUGGAACUUCUCUGGCUAAGUAUGAGUUAAGUGAACCCAGCUGUUUUGGAGAUUGGGUCACUGAAUUGUUCUUUCUGGCCCCUUCUGCCUAUUACUUUGCUUUGGAACAGAAAUUCCACUGCAUCUGCCUGUGGAGAACUCAGCUGGUGUCAGCAGCAUCUUCUUGGAUCCAUCAGCACUCGCUGACAAACAAGGAAACUGGAUCCAUGUUGGACACACACUCUUCUCAGUUAUGUACUUUGUCUCUCUGUAAUCCCUCUGGUAUUGACAAAUAGAGCUCCAGGACGCGGUGGCUGUGACAGCACCCGCAGACAGCAUGUAUUAGCAUCCGCAUUAUCGUCUUGGCCCUGACAGCCUGGGCACUGGAGAGAGGAUUAAGUGAUUAGUAGUGUGUAUGUUACAACCAUCUUUUUAUUCCUUGGGACUUUUCAGUUUUGCUCACUUCAUAAAGACGUAAAAGAGGGCUCUGAGUAAAAACAGAUGCACUUAUACAUUUCUUUGGGUCUGAUGGGCAGCAUAUGUCGCAGACAUUUGGGUGAUGUUGAGACAUUAUCAAAUUUCUUCAUGAACACAGCAAAUCAUCUUGCCUUUGUGAAAACUAUUGUUUUAAGGGCUGGCUUCAAGGUAUAUUAAUUAAAAAAAAAAAGAUCUGUUUUCAUCUCCAGUGUAUUAUAUUUGAUGAACUGGCCUAUGAAGGUGUGUAGGUUAGAUAAUCAUCUAGUAAACUUUGUUCCCUAGAAAUUUACUAAAGGGGAGAUUGAUGUCAGGGCGCUUUGACCCUGAGAUGGGUUUAACGUGAUUGUUAAAUAUUAUCAUUUUAAAUGGAAUUUCUUUUUCCUGAUUUGAUCAAAUUCUCUAAAAUAUUCAUCCACAAGAAGUGGUCCAAAAAAUGUCAGUCAUCUCUCACACUGUCAUUUUUAUGAGUCAUAUUAUCUUACACAUUUUUAGAGUGGAAAAGCCUAUCACAGUCAUUAUAAAUUAGAACCUUUAGUCUUUAUCAUAGAGUUUGAUUUUUAUAUUGUAAAAUGUUGACCUCAUAUUUUACGUUUUAAUUCUUCUUACUUCACCCAUUCAACAAGCUUUUUUUUGUUUUGUUUUGUUUUGUUUUGUUUUUUAGAUGGAGUCUUGCUCUGUUGCCCAGGCUGGAGUGCAGUGGCACAAUCUCAGCUCACUGCAAGCUCCGCCUCCUGGGUUCACGCCAUUCUCCUGCCUCAGCCUCCCGAGUAGCUGGGACUACAGGCACCCACCACCACACCCGGCUAAUUUUUUUGUAUUUUUAGUAGAGACGAGGUUUCGCCAUGAUAGCCAGGAUGGUCUUGAUCUCCUGACCUCGUGAUCCACCCACCUCAGCCUCCCAAAGUGCUGGGAUUACAGGCGUAAGCCACUGCGCCCGGCCUCAACAAGCUUUUUAUUGAGCAUCUACUAUGUGGAAGUGGCAGAAAUCCAGAAAAAUUUUAAAAGUAUUCUUUGCUCCCCAAAAGUCCACAUUCUAGUUGGGAGAAAAUACUAUUAUAUUGGUUGUAGAGAUGUUAUAAGCGAGUUCGUAACUGAGUGCCAAGUGGGAUACAGCAACAGUCUGUUGAGUGGAUUCAGUGCAGGGAUGAAUCUGUCAUGGUGGAGAAGGUAGACAGGGCUCUAUAGAAGAGGGGAGAUUAAGAUGGCCCUUGAAGGAGAGUCAUGCCGGAGGGGUAGGGGAAGCAAUUAGUAGUUCACAUAUGGGGUUCAAAGUUACAUUGGAAAGUGAGAUCAGAGCAGGCCGACCUUGAAUCAUCCCAUUUGGGGAGUUUUUGCUCAGAGCCCUCUUUUACACCUUUAUGAAGUGAGCAAAACUGAAAAGUUUCAAGGAAUAAAAAGAUAGUUGUAACAUACACACUACUAAUAACUUAAUUUUUUCCUGUAGGAAUAGGGAGCCUCUAAAACUUCUGGAGAAGAGAUGUGAAUGAGAAUACAGUUUAGAAAGAGAAUGCUAGUUUGAUCAGAGUUCACAGGAUACACCAGCAGGUAGGAUGAGGCAGGUGGCAUGGAGAGCAGGCAGGCGACCCCUGCAGUGAUCCAGGGGUGAGGUUAGGAGGGCCUGAACUCUAGUUAACAUGGGAGAGGAGGGUGAGGUUUUACAGAGGAGGAAGUUAACUAAGCUGAGUCGUUAAGAGUAGGAGUAACUGACAUUUUUGGUCCCCUUCCUCUCUGCCUGAAAAACUGUUAAGCACUUUACAUGUUUUUAACCUUUAUAGAAACUCUGUGAAGUGAGAACUCUCAUUAGUCCCACUUUCAGAUGAGGAAACUGAGGCUUGCAGGAGUCAAGUAACUUGACCAGUGUCACAUUGUGGAAGUGGGAGAGCUGGGAUUUGAACUUACACUUCAAACUCUUAACCCCCAAGUGUGCCUUGCUAUCUGAUUAUUGAGGGGAUGGGGUGGUGGGGAGUGGGGAGGAGAAGUAACUUUUUAAAAAAUACUGGAAAUGUAACCUUUCAAAAUAAAUUUUUUAUUAUUAUUUUCUUGGCCUGAGUUAAAUAACUAGUUUGAAAUAGAGAUGAAUAAAUUAUAUUUUCAAAAAGAAAAAAGAAUAACUCUAUGGGUUAAAAGUGAAGUUCAUUCAAAAUGUCCUAUCUUAAAAUAGAUGCGAAUUUCAGAAAUGCAACAUGAUGUUGAUCUUAAUCCUCUUAUUUACAUGUUCUCAUACACAGAGUACUGUAUAACGUGAGUCUGCCUGUGUGUACAUGCAUGUAACUGUCACCCAGGGACUCAAACAAAUGUAACCUUGAUUCAAGCUUGAGGGAAAGAAUGGCUGUCAUUUCGACUUUUUAAAAAUUAUCUGUUUAUUUCCCUUUCUCUGUCGAUAACUCCUAGUUGUAAUGCUGAAAUCUUAUAAAUACGGCACAGUUAACUUGCAAAAGGAGCUUAGUGUUCUCGGGGCAGUCCAAGUUGAACAACACAUAAUUUGGCACAAUUUGGCGGGCCUGAGUUGAAGACCAAUACAAGACUGAGAAAGCAUAGAGGCUUUAUUAUUUCUAAGUGAGUUCACGUAGUGUACACGGGUUGAGCUGAUCAGAACUCCCACCCAACCCUCCCUCUGCCCCAUCCAAGGCGUUUAUUCCUUAUGCUUUCAUAAGUGUCGCAUUCACAGCACAACGUUUCUCUUUCCCAAAUAGGCAUGUUGUUGUUUCAAAUUAACAUCUGUGCUUACUGCAGAAUAGUGAAUGCCAUCUUCUUUUGCCCCGCUGACCCUGAUGGUGUCACUGAGGCUUUCAAAGCAGAGUGACCAGGCACAGCUAUAGUUUUCUGCAGUAUCAGGAAAGGGGUGGAGGAGGGGAGGGCUUCACUAUCUAGUCCUAGUGCUCAAGAUGACACUGACACACAGAAGAAAAGGAUAUAUAUGUAGAAUUGCUUGAAUUCUGGAGAAAAAGACAAAAGAAAACUGAGAUGUGUCAAGUAUCUAUGUACCAGUCACUAUAUUGUAUAACUUGGUGGCCAUAUACUCAGUUCCAGAUUUUGCCUAGCAUAAUUAUAAUAUAAUUCCCUUUCAUUUUCAGAAAUAUCCUGGUUUGGAUAAUAAAUUAUAUUGUCACCCUAUGUACACUCUGAACAAGGACUCUUUAGGCAAAAUCUUAUUAUUUCCAUUAUUUCUGGAAGCUGGGUCUCUGAGAGGUUAACUACCUCAAAGCCACACAACAAGAAUCUGGCAACAAAGAUUUUUCUUUUGCUUCAUCAUGGUACUUCCCAAAGAGUGUUUAAUCUAUACCAAAAGAAUAGUACUCAUCUAAUAAUAGGACAAAGUAAUUUAUUUUCAAAGCUAUUUGCAAGGAAAGCAUGUUCCUUCAGUGUUUCCCAACAGGGGGGAGCUGGAUUUGUCCUGCGUUUCCAGACACUGUCUCUCACUUUGUCCCCUUGUGAGACUAGGGGUGAAAUACGGAGAAACAGAUGAAGAACUGGUGGUCACAAUGGAGGCUGUGAUAUGAGCUCAUGGAUUUCAAGAAAAGUAACAGAGCUAUAAUAGAAUCAGACACAGAACUCCUCCUGGAUAUUAUAAUUAUAAAGUUGGUGACUGAGCCAACCUACAUGCCAGAGCCAAGGAUGCUAGUAGCAUUUAUAGUGUCAUGCUUUUGCACUACGUUCUGUCAGAAAGUAAUAAAGUGCUUUAUCCAGUGCGUGUUUGAUAUUAGCCAAUCACAGAUGACUAAGAUUCUUUCAGGCAUUUUGAGUAAACUUACACUACGGGAAAUACGAUGGAUAAUAAAUAGCCUGAUACAGUGGGUCUGAAAACCUUGAUUCCACCUCUGCAUUUCACAUUUACUAGACAUGUAACGUUGCUCAAAGAAUAGACCUUUCUCGGAUUCUGUUUCCUCAUCUUAAAAAAAGAAAAAAAUCUGACAUUAGAUUAUAAGGGGUCCCUACUAGUUUUUGUGAAUAAAGGUUUACUAGAACACAGCCAUCCCAUUUGUUUACAUAUUGUCUGUGCCAGUUUUUGAGCUACAAUAUGAGCUGAGUAGUUGCAACAGAGACUUCAUAACCCACCAAGCAUGAAACAUUUACAUAAGGCCUUUUACAGAACAAUUCAGCUGACCACUGGAUUAAGUGAUCACUGAGGACACCGUCACACUUUGUAUGUGUCUAACUCCAGGAAAGGAGAGUGAGAAAGGGAAGAAGGUGUGGUCAGAGUUAUAAAUCUGAAUAAAAUACCCAGAGCCCACCUUGCAAGCAAUCCGCAAGUCGAUCGUCCUAACAGUGAAAGAUGCAGCACCCUCUACUGGCCAGGAGGACUUUUUGCAUGUAAUAUGGGCUGCAGGAUACAGAGAAAGGUAAAAGCUUUGUGCAGGUGUGUCAGAUCGUUAAGACUCGUGUUCAAUAUGAUGGCCACUGCAAAGCAGCAGGGAAGUUUCUGUUUGCCCCUGAUGACUUUGAAUUCAUAAAGCACAUGCUUUAAGUAGAGAAACGUGGGGAACUUGGGUCCUCCAGCUAGAGUGUAAAGCUUCUUGGGAGAGAAGUAAGACUGAGAGGACAGGGAAAGCAUGCUGAAAAGGACUUAAUCAUGGCGAGUGAAGCCAAAGCUAAUAAACAGUGCUGGAUGGGUUCUCAUGGCCUCAGACAGUGGGUGAGGAUGGUUAUUGUUGCAAUUGCAGUAAAUCAUACUAAUCCCAAUGCCAAAAGCCACUUUGAAUGAUGAAGUGAAGCAGCCUGCGAUGGCGACCAGGAGGCUCUGUGUUGCUGCCCCAGCCGGGUGGGGCUGCUGUCAGCCCUCGCAGGCGAGCUCUGGAUCCUGUCUUAGGGGCCCAACUCUGCCUUCAGAGGAGACUUGCAGAACUGGCAGAUUUCAGUUUGGUUUGGAGUUUUGUUGUGUGUGUCUUGGCAGGAGGCGACCCUCCUCCAUCCACAGAGCGCCCCGGAUUAAUGGCUAAAGUAACACCUACUGGCGGGACCAACCCAGGCUCAGAGCAGGCUUUCCGCUGUUGAUUCACGACUCCUCUUGACUCACAGCCUCAUUCCGUUUUGUUGGCUGUUUGAGGCUCCUGCCCUAACGUCCAAACUUCGUGAUAUGAAAAACACCCUGAAGAGUAGGUGUGCUUUCCUUCCCAGCAUGGAGCACGUGCUCUGUGGUGGGGAAACCUUGUGGGGAAACAAGAGGACAAGUUGUUUUGCACAGUAGUGAAUCUCAGGGCAAAAAAUAAAAUUAGCUUUAACUCACGAAGUUUUGACCUGGGUGCUUUCUUUCUUAAGUUGCCUUGAACAUCUGCUCACAAUAUUGGGGAAUGGUUGAAAUGAGGUCCUAGGCACCCAAAUCCAAAUGAAGACUUGGGUUUGUUCCUUUCAGCGCCAAUGAAUUGAAGUGAGAGUUGCCACAACCUCGAUGUGUUUGCUUCUCCUCCAUGAUAAAUCUUUUUGGGAAUAAAGUUGGAUAUGGAAA